rnacentral:lncRNA from 1 species
CCCAUAUCCACAACAGGAUCUAUGACUGUAACUAUACACUAAAUACAACAGAAGGUUUAUAAUACACCAAAAGGGGAUAAACCUCUAUCUAUAUUAUACUAUACUAUGGAGCGGCACAGCUAGCAGGCAACCACUAAUCCUGCUCCUCUCUAUACAAUAUCUGCCCUGCAAUCAAAAAUAUCAAACUGGGGAGUGAGUAUAUGAAUACUCAGUGAGUGGAGUAGAGAGUACUAUGCACAUGAGACAAGAUAUAAUCAUGGCUCGAGGUGAAAUCUCAAGAUCAAUAACAAGAUGAACAUGAUCUCAACAUAGAGAAUAUGGAGUAAAUCAUCAAUAUCACCACAAUCAAUAUCAACUCAUCUGAAGCAUAUAUGGAAUAAUCAAGUAAAUAUAUAUGCUACUCA